CAAUAGCGUAUAUUAAAGUUGUUGCGGUUAAAAAGCUCGUAGUUGGAUUUCUGCCGAGGACGACCGGUCCGCCCUCUGGGUGAGUAUCUGGCUCGGCCUGGGCAUCUUCUUGGAGAACGUAGCUGCACUUGACUGUGUGGUGCGGUAUCCAGGACUUUUACUUUGAGAAAAUUAGAGUGUUUCAGGCAGGCUUUCGCCGGAAUACAUUAGCAUGGAAUAAUGGAAAAGGACUUCAACCUCUUCUGUUGGUCUGAGAGGCUGUAGUAAUGAUUAAUAGGGAUAGUUGGGGGUGCUAGUAUUGGCCGGCCAGAGGUGAAAUUCUUGGAUUCGGUCAAGACUAACUUAUGCGAAAGCAUUCACCAAGGAUGUCUUCUUUAAUCAAGAACGAAAGUUGGGGGAUCGAAGAUGAUUAGAUACCAU
rnacentral:rRNA from 1 species